AUGAACGCUGGCGGCGUGCCUAAUACAUGCAAGUCGAGCGAACAGACGAGGAGCUUGCUCCUCUGACGUUAGCGGCGGACGGGUGAGUAACACGUGGAUAACCUACCUAUAAGACUGGGAUAACUUCGGGAAACCGGAGCUAAUACCGGAUAAUAUAUUGAACCGCAUGGUUCAAUAGUGAAAGACGGUUUUGCUGUCACUUAUAGAUGGAUCCGCGCCGCAUUAGCUAGUUGGUAAGGUAACGGCUUACCAAGGCAACGAUGCGUAGCCGACCUGAGAGGGUGAUCGGCCACACUGGAACUGAGACACGGUCCAGACUCCUACGGGGGGCAGCAGUAGGGAAUCUUCCGCAAUGGGCGAAAGCCUGACGGAGCAACGCCGCGUGAGUGAUGAAGGUCUUCGGAUCGUAAAACUCUGUUAUUAGGGAAGAACAAAUGUGUAAGCAACUAUGCACGUCUUGACGGUACCUAAUCAGAAAGCCACGGCUAACUACGUG
rnacentral:rRNA from 1 species